AUAUUUUUCAAAGUGUUUAUUUCUGCUCACGCAUUCAAUUAUUGAACGACAAAGCUGUCAAGUCCGAUAUGUUUUUCAAAGUGUUUAUUUCUGCUCACGCAUUCAAUUAUUGAACGACAAAGCUGUCAAGUCCGAUAUGUUUUUCAAAGUGUUUAUUUCUGCUCACGCAUUCAAUUAUUGAACGACAAAGCUGUCAAGUCCGAUAUGUUUUUCAAAGUGUUUAUUUCUGCUCACGCAUUCAAUUAUUGAACGACAAAGCUGUCAAGUCCGAUAUGUUUUUCAAAGUGUUUAUUUCUGCUCACGCAUUCAAUUAUUGAACGACAAAGCUGUCAAGUCCGAUAUGUUUUUCAAAGUGUUUAUUUCUGCUCACGCAUUCAAUUAUUGAACGACAAAGCUGUCAAGUCCGAUAUGUUUUUCAAAGUGUUAUUU
rnacentral:lncRNA from 1 species